UACGUAGGGUGCGAGCGUUGUCCGGAAUUAUUGGGCGUAAAGAGCUCGUAGGCGGUUUGUCGCGUCGGCCGUGAAAACUUGGGGCUUAACCCCAAGCCUGCGGUCGAUACGGGCAGACUUGAGUUCGGCAGGGGAGACUGGAAUUCCUGGUGUAGCGGUGAAAUGCGCAGAUAUCAGGAGGAGCACCGGUGGCGAAGGCGGGUCUCUGGGCCGAUACUGACGCUGAGGAGCGAAAGCGUGGGGAGCGAACAGG
rnacentral:rRNA from 1 species